AUUGAACGCUGGCGGCGGGCCUAACACAUGCAAGUCGAACGAGUGGCGGACGGGUGAGUAAUGUCUGGGAAACUGCCCGCUGGAGGGGGAUAACUACUUGAAACGGUAGCUAAUACCGCAUACAAUCGGAUGUGCCCAGAUGGGAUUAGCUAUGAGGUGGGGUAACGGCUCACCUAGGCGACGCUCCCUAGCGGGUCUGAGAGGAUGACCAGCCACUCGGGAACUGAGACACGGUCCAGACUACUACGGGAGGCAGCAGUGGGGAAUAUGUCACAAUAGGCGCAAGCCUGAUGCAGCCAGGCCGCGUGUAUGAAGAAGGCCUGCGGGGUGUAAAGUACUUUCAGCGAGGAGGCGUUACUCGCAGAAGAAGCACCGGCUAACUCGGUGCCAGCAGCCGCGGUAAUAC
rnacentral:rRNA from 1 species